UUUUCACGAAGUGACGGAUAAGAGGAAAAUUGUCACUUUUUUCAAUUUUGAGUUUUUUGCAUUUUUGGACAUCUAUGACUUAUAUCUUGAACCUCAAAAAGUUUCAGAUCACAAUAAUGUCUAAUUACGUUGCUAUGACGACAUGACAUUCAAUAAAAUACCGGGUAAAAGGAUUUCUUGUUUUCACGAAGUGACGGAUAAGCAGCCGUCAUUACGUGAAAACAAACGAAUACGCUUUGCACUCAAGAGUUUUUUCACGAAGUGACGGAAGGCAAAUAUUUACAGUUUGGAACAGCCGAAGACCAUGAAAUGAUGCAGUAUAUACAAUAAGUGAUGUUUCAGAGAACAAAUGAGA